AAAAUUCAUCCUACUAUAUUAUUUGGGAAGUACAUUUUAAAUAUAACCUUAAUUUUUGUAAGUAAUUACAUAUGUAUGCCAUUAAAAAUAAAAUUUUAAAGAGUAAAUUAAUUUAUCUCUUUAAGGAUUAAAAAGUCAAAUACUAAUUUAAUUAAUUAAAUUUAAUUAAAAAACGAAAUACAUUAUUAAUUUUCAAAAAUAAUAACCAAUCAAAAUCAACAUAUAAGAUUUGAUAUCUAAAUUUUAAUUAAUUUAAUUUAAUUAGAAAAACGAAAUACAUUAUUAAUUUCCAAAAAAGUAACCUAUUAAAAUCAACAAAUUAGAUUUGAUAUCUAAAUUAUCAUAUUAAUUUUUUAUUAAUUAUUAUAGUUCACUUCUCAUCUUUAUAUGAUUCUAUUUAUGCGAAAAAUAAUAUCAUCAUUAUAAAAAAAAAUUAGAGUUUUUUCGCAUAUGCAAUAAUUUGAAUUUUUGAAAUCGUAAACUGUUCAAUACAUGAAAAAAUAUUAUAACGGGUGAAAAAUAGAUUUAAGAAAACUUUCUACUGAGUAACGGGUCAUAAUUUGAAAUAUUUAUAUUCAAUUUCAUACAUAUUAUAUUGAAAAUUUAUAAUCUUAUAUACUACAAUAAUUAAUAACAUAUUGGAUUUUUUUAUGUGUAUGAUGUGAUUCAAUUUUUAAUACAAGCUGGAAAAUCCUAGAAUUGACGGGUUUAGAUCGAUAUUAAUACAAGAUGGUAUACUACAGGUGAAACUCUUAAAUUAACAAUCAAACUACAAGUGUAUAAUCUUAAACACCAAACAAUAUAGAUAAUAUCAACAAAACAUAUACAACUCACAGUUUACUUUUAAUAUUUUAUAUACAAAAUCAAUUAAAUCUUAAAUUAAA
rnacentral:sRNA from 1 species